AGAGAAUUGUAGGAGUUCAAAGGGACCUCUGAAGAUCAUUUAGUCCACCUCCUCUGCUAAAGUAGGUUUCCUCAUGUGGGUUACACGAGAGAGCAUCCUGGCAGGUUUUGAAUAUCACCAGAGGAGUCUCCACAACCUCUCUGGGCAGCCUGUUAGAGUGUUCUGUCAACUACAAGGUGUAGAAUGCUACACUUGCCCUUGUGGGACCUCACAAGCUUCCUCUCCACCAAACUCUCCAGCCUGUCCAGGUCUUGGUGAAAAGAAGCAUAUUUUUCUGGUAUGUCAGCCACUCCUCCCAGCUUUGUAUCAUCAACAGACUUGCUGAAGGUGUGGUAAAUCCCUUCAUCAAAGUCACUGAUGAAGAUGUUGAAAAAGAUCAGACCCAAUACUGACCUCUUGGGAGCACCAACAAGACUCUGCACCACUGAUCACGACCUUCUGAGCUCUCCUGCUCAGCUAGUUCUCAAUCCACCUCCCUGUCCAGUCCUCUACCUCUCAUUUCCUAAGCUUACCUAGGAAGUUAUUUGACAGUGUCAAAAGCAUAGUUGAAGUCAAAGUACACAACAUUCACUCCUUUCCCCUCAUCUACCCAGCUAUUCACAACAGCAUGGAAGGCUACCAGAUUUCCCCUUGGUGAGUCCAUGCUGACUACUCUUGAUAUUCUUUUCUUCCACUUGCUUGGAGAUGACAUCCAAAAUAAGUUUUUCCAUCAACUUCCCAGUGACAGAGGUAAGCCAGACUGACCUGUAGUUUCCAGGGUCCCCCUUCUUGCCCUUUUUGAAGGCCAGAGUGACUUUGUUCUCCAGUCUUUGAGAAACUCUCCUGUUCUCCAUGACCUUUCAUAGAUGAUAGAGGAUUGUUCAACAAAAACUUCUGCCAGCUUCCUCAGCACUCAUGAGUGCAUCCCUUCAGGGCUGAUGGAUUUGUGUGCACUGAGUUUGCCUAGACAAUCUCACCACAUCCUCCUAGAUGUGUGUACCUAGUUUAUCUAUUGUGGGUUCGGCAUUUGACCCAGAUAUUCACUAAUGUUCUUAAAAUUUGGGGAGGUUUUUUUGCUAGUUUUUAUGGGUUUUGUUUGUUUAUUUCAUUUUUACUUCAGUCUCGCUGGUAUUUGAGUACAUAUUUCCUUUUCAUAUGUACUAUGGGAUAUCUUGAACUGCCUCUGAUGCCCCUGAUUUUGACUUUGCCUGACAUUGCCUGACUGGUAAGAUAAGAGGAUAAGAAAAUAUUGACAAAAUUUGUGUUUCAUUGAAAGUUUAAAAAACCAAAGAAAAAACAAAACAACAACAACAACAACAACAAAAAAGAAUUAAUUUAGUUUGUCAUGUGGCCUAAUAUUUAUACUAAAAUUGCUAGAAUUGCUUAGCAGGAUUAAUUUAAAUUGCUGUAACUAUGUUUAGAUACUCUGUAGUCUUUAAGGAAUCCUAGAAUACCUGAGGUACCUGCACAGGCUUAAAAUAUUUUCUUUUCUGAAAUGACAACUGGAUUCCAGGUAAGAUGCUUUAUAAUACAUUAAAUGCUGUAGUUGAUUAUACUAAGGCAUCUUAAGUGUUCCCUGGCUGAAUUGUAACAGUUGUAUGGUGAGCACAAGAAUUUAAACAUCUCAGUCUGUAACCAAACUGCAGCUCUUAAAGUUGAGUAAACUAAAUCACAGCUAAGCUAUUUAACUUUUAUAUUGCUAAAGUUAAGCAUGAUGAAUCAGACACUAAUGAAUAACUUACUCAGGAUGGAAUCUUUAAUUAAAAAUAAGAAUAUAUACAUAAAAGAAGGUAGACAAGGACUGUUCUUCAAAUAUUAAGAUAUAUAUAUAUAUAUUUUUUGUCUUGCCAAAUCACAACUUACUAUGAUCAAAAUAAAAUAUUGCAGAUUCAUGCUAUUGAUCUUCAUUGCAACCUGAAGAUAUAGACAGAUAUAUAUUUGCUUGUAAAAGAAAAUCACAACAACAACAAUAAAAUGAGGCUUUUUUUUGAAAGGUCUUUUAUUUUAUUGUUAUUUCUGCAAGAAUGCCCCAUUUGUGUCUUCAGGAGAAUAAUUAACAGAUAAUUUAUGUAAUAAAUUAUUAUAAUAAUGUAAUAAUUUAUGUAAUAUUGUCCUAGAUUAAUAGGGGAAAAUCUUGCUUACUUUACUAAAUUAAAUCCAAAUAAACAAAAUAUAUGAAUCAGUGAAUGAAGGUGAAAACUGAAAUAGCUAAGCUCCAACUCCUUACUUCUCAGAAAACUUGGCUGAACAGUUAGAAGUAACUGGAAAUUAUCAACCAUAAACUUCUCCAGUCUCUAAAUGUGUAGAAUGAGUCUAUUUUAGGUAGAAUCUAUAAUGCACAGAUAUCACUAUAACCACGACUGACACAAUUUAAAAGUCAGAUAGACCAUAUAUGUGUUUUUUGUUUGUUUGUUUGUUUUUCUGUGAUACGCAGAUUAUGACGAAAGAUCUGUUUCCAGAAAUCAGCUAUGAACAGGUUUUCUUAGACUGUAGAUUAUAUCUGUCACAUCAGAUUAGUAGAUGUCUCUAUUAAGGUGUUUUUUUUUGCUUGUUUGUCAUUAAGUUCUGAAAGUGAGUAUUAGGAGAUUCAUUCUGCUGCUUUUUCACAUUUUCCUCCUACCAAGCUAGGCACCUUUAGCUUUCUGCAUAAUGACUGGAGAUCUUAGUGUGAACUUUGAAGUCUCAACACAGCAUUUUGGAAUGCCAAGAACAGAUCAACUGCAGACUAAGACAUUGAAUUUAUGCGACUAAAUAUUGACAUAUGGAUGUGAAUUUGUUCUUUAAACUCUCAUUAAAGUCAGUGAAGGGCUAAUGAUUACAGUCAGUGGAGAAUAGGAAAAGAUGCAACUCAAUUUAAAUAGACGUUUAACACAAAUUUCAUUAUAAAACAUCAUUUUUGUUUCCAGACAUAUCAAAUCUGACCUGUAUUUGACACUCUAGAAGAACGAAAAUCUUUAGUAAGUUCUGAGCCCCAUUGGUGUCCUGGAUGUCUGAGAUACUCCAAGGCAUUUCCAGUGGUCAUUUACGUGUUAGCAAAAAUAAAGUUCUUCACUAAAUGUAUCUGGAACUUAGAUACUUUAUUCAUCUUGGGACAACUAUUUUUGGAAAUCUUAAUCUUAAAAUAAACCCUGUCCAUAUUUAGAAAGAAAUAAAACAUGUUUUAAAAGUUUUAGUUCUUGCCAUUGACUCUAGCAAGAAUCUAGGGCACCUUGUCUAAAUAUAUCUGUAACUAUAGACAGCUGCAUUUCCUCAAAUUAAUUCCACACUUAGGUUUUCAUACUCCUUUGCUGUAAAAUGGCAUAGUUUAAUUGAUCUUGUAGAACAGAGGAUUUAGUGUCUUGUCUCUGCCUCCUAUCCGUGCUCAACUGUCAGCACAUCCAGAAAACACUGCCCCCCCACUGAGCUCCCAGAACCCAAAGGCACCCUCUUACUGAACACAGACAUAUUUGGUCCCAAUAUUAUGCCUUGUUUUUUGUUUGUUUGUUUGUUUGUUUGCCUGUUUUGUUGUUGUUGUUGUUGUUUUCGGGUUUUGUUUUGCUUUGUUUUUGAAGUUUUAGCUCUUAAUCUCUUGUGGACAUUAAGAAUGUAAAUGAUAGUAUGAAAAUAUGUAUAGUAGUUUCCUAUCUCAGGAAUAACUCCAUUAAUAUUGCAUUUAUUUUACAAAGUUGCAUAUUAUUACAUAAAAUUACAAGGCAAAAAAUAUGCUUUCCUCUUGAAAAUAAUUUUGAAUCUAUGAGAAGGUUUAUUGGAGAUCUUGAAAGAUGAGAGCACAGACUGUUGAGGAGUCAAAACUUAUUAGAAAGUUCCUCUGCAUGGUUCAGAAGCAAAGUGUGAAGUUCAUUUUCAACUUAAAGUCAAUAGAAUUAUUUAUGGAUUUAUAGUAAUUAACUAUAUGGCCUGUUAUCUGAUUUAAAAAAUAAAGAAAGCAAUGUUAAAGUGAGAAAGGAUCGACCUAAGUUACUUAGUUUCAGAACCAUCAGUAAUGAUUUUAAAUCUAAUAAACAUUGUCAUCUGGCUUCUGUCUCUCUUGUAAAAGGCUGUACUACAUAAAAUCCAUUCAUAAUUCAUAGAAAAUGAUUUAGGAAAAAGAAAAAAAAUCAACUUCCCAAAGUCGGUAUUGGAAGAGAAUUCUUAUUUGAAGAGAAGUCUGAGUAGGGUGAAGCAGAAUGAGGAAUUUCAUGUUUUAUUUUUCACUACAUUAGGCAGCCUGUGUGUGACAAACAAAAACAGAUCAAGUUUUCAUUCCUAAUUGACUCUGAUUCCUUAUAAAUAAGGCAUAUGAACACAAUUAAUUAAUCAAGUUUUAAUCAUUUCUGUAAUAAUAUAAUACUUCAAACUAGAUAUUGUACAUGACUAUCAUGUUCAACACCACAAUCUCUUGCUCAUCAAGUUCACUGUGUUACUAAAUUUCACUGAUUUGCCCAACAGAAUGGUGAAAAAACAUUCAUUAACUUUUUUUUUUUCAUUUCAUUAUCUAACAAGUUUGAAUUUAUUGUCUAAUUAAUGUACCGAGCUACUUCUAAAUGAUUGAAUAUGUCUUGGGAAAACUGCUUAAAUUGACUGUAGUAUUUUAGUAAUUUUCCAGUAUUUUAAAAUCAUCACAUGGAAAAUCAAUUACAAUAUGUAGAUAAAUCUUCCAAAUAUGAAGGAAUAAUUUUACCUUCUCAGUUCAACAGAAAUUAUGACAAUAAUGCAUUUAUUAAUGCAUUAGUCAUGGUGUAAACCUGUAGCCGCCUUAUAAAAUAGAAAUACUUGUUUUGUGCUCCAAGGUUGUGCUGUUUCUAAACUUUCAGACUACAUGCAUAGCCAAGACUAAAAAUAAAAACGACCUCAAGUCUUAAUAGGAAAAAGGUAAAUAUGUAGUGUUAUAACUAGUAUUACAAAUAAAUACAUAAGUAAAUAAAUAAAACCACACACACACACACACACACACACAAAAAAAAAAAAAAAAAAAAAAGGAUCCUUCAUGAAUUGCCAGAUACGUGGAAGACUUUUCUCCUCUUGUAACCACUUUCUUUCUACUGAACACUAUGUAAGUCUUUUUAAUAUGCCUUUAAUAUAUCACCCACACACCCAUAUAUAAAUGAUCAUAACCUGAUUUUACUUCAAAAUAUAUUUCUGCAAAAUGAUGUUCGAAUCAAAGAUUAUGAGACUCUCUAAUAGUCAAAUUGAUGUUUGUCUAUUUAUGGUCUUUCCUAUUAAUCAGCAUUCACAAGACAUAACUAAUUUUGAUUUGUUGGUUGGUUUGGUCAUAUUAAAACUAUGCUCCUGUAGGUCUUGUAAAUCAAAAAUUUCAUGUAUUCUGUGCAAACAAUGUAGUAAUUUUGUAAUGUAUAUAUCUAGCAUCACUUAAGAUAUCGUAAGGUAUCUGAGAAAACUGUAUGGAGAUGGUAAAUGUGACAUAGGAGAUUUAAGAACCCUCUAGGGAGACAGCUGUAGACCAGAUACCAUGUUCUAAGACUCGUAAAAUGUUGCUGACAUCUCUAUUAGGGGAAAUGAAUGAGAAAGACAAAGUUGAUCAGCAACACUAAUACCAGUUUAUUCAAGAUUCCUACACAGAUCUUAUCUUAUUCAGUUAGAAAGUUACACUGCUUCUUAUUUUUGUCUUCUUUUUUAGUGAAUUAUAUUUUUGCUUUCAGCUAAACUGCAUACAGGACUUUUCAUUCCUACUCAGGUAGCCUAAAUUAUAUAAGAAUUUCAGUUAUCUUCUUCUUUUGAGUCUUUCAACCUAUAGAACACAGGAUUUGAAAGCUUCUAAAAAGCAACAGUAACACUCUCCCUAUUAGUUCACCAAGGCACGUCUUUUACACAUACACAGACACACACACAAUAUAAAAAAGAAAAUAAAAAUGAAUAACAUUAUUUAAAACUACUUUCUCUAUUUAAAGUCUUUAUUUAAAACUUACAUUUCUCUAACAGCAAUAAAAGAAUGAGAUCUCAAAAAUAUUUAUUUUUUCUUUGAAGAAAUAUACAAGCCAGCUAGAGAAAAAAAAAAAUCUUAGAAGUGUAUGUAGUUUUAAAAUUCAUCAUGAGGUAUUAAAGUAAGUGAAAGACCCUAGACAACUUUUAAAAACCCUUGGGCUGUGUUCUAAUGGCUAAUAAAUUAUGGCAGCUAUCUAAUGCAUCUAAAGUAAAAAUAGAAACAUUUAGAAUUAUUUCUGUGGUCAAUGUAAAGUGAGAGGUAUUAACAAAGACCGUUAGUAUGGGUGAGAUCUUAAGUGUAAGUGUCUAACACUAUGCUAAAUCAAUCAGUGACUAGCCAUAUAAAAGAAAGGUUAGAAUUUUGUGUUAAAUUAAACUACAUGCAUGAAAAUAACCCUCAAAAGAAAAAAAAAAAAUCAGUUUCUUUUACUUUCACUGAAACUGCCUUCAUCUGGAGAGAUUGAAUGCUUUUGAAUAUUAAGUUCCAGUCACAAAUAGACACUGAAAACUGUAACAUUAAGCAGUCAAGUUUGAAAAAGAUGGCUUUUCAUGUUCAGUGUUAUUUAUAUAGUAUUUAUAAUGUUGUUUUUUUUUUUUCUGACUGCAGGAUUUUUUUUUAAAUUUUUUUUUUUUCCGUUCUAUUAAAGUAUUACCUAAUAUUCCUAGUGAAUUAUUAGUUAUACUAAAUAAUUUUUCAAGCUGAGGUAUAUUGAAUAUUCUGUUGAAUUACUUCUACACUUUCUUUUCCAAACUCUAUCCGUAUAUAAGCUAGAUUUGUCAUAUUUCAGUGCACUGUAUCUUAUCUCUUACAUAUUUUUCUGCGUACUUGUAGCGUAAUAUAACAGUACUUAAUAUUUUUAUACGCUGCUUUAUCUGUUUGGAAAUAGUUUUAGAGGUAUGUAUAAAAAAGUCAUUACCACCAGAGAGGUGAAACCUUACAAAAUUUGUUUUCAACAGAAACUAUUUCAGAUAGAAAAAAGAGUAGAUAAAUUUAAAUAUCAGAAAAACUCCUGAAAAAAUUGUGAUUUUGAGAGCAAGACUCUAUGUUUAUUCUGAAUCCUUUCAAAUGUGUAUACUGUGUGACAUUUCAAACUGUUUAUUUUGAACUUCAGUAUUCUUAUAGAGGCAAAUGAAUAUUCUCCUUAUAAGAAAAUACUGAAAUACAAGCUGGAAUGAAUCUCAUUCAUUCACCAUCUUCAUGAAAUAUAGUGAAUCCAACAGAGUGGAUCUUAUUUAAUUCCAUGUAUUCAGAAUCAGUUCCUAAAUUUGUUCAAGUAAAGAAAUAGUUGUUUUACUUGACUGGAAAGCAGGGUCUCAUCAAUAUUUUUUGACAUAUCAUGAAUUUUCCAGUUAGAAAUAAUGAAUGCAUUCAGUCUGUGACAUGCCUUAUUAUAUCACAGAAAUUAGGGAUCAGAAGACAAGCAGUUACAGUUGCCUGUUCAAAUCACCUGCACUUUUCUAACCAUUUAUUAACCAACCAACCAACCAAAAUAAACAAAUAAAUAAAUAAAUAAAAUUAUUAACAAGGAAUUUUUAGCUAUCUAUACAAAGAUAAACAUUUCAAGUAUUUGCUUAUAUUGUUGUGUUUGAGAAUGAGAAACAAUGUUAUAGAAUAUAGAAUUUUGGAAGGUUUUUACCAAAUGAGUAGGAUUUGUAGCACAAGAAACAGGGAGGAGGGUGAAAGGAAAGGGUGUAGAAGGAAGGUAAUGAUUCUUAUUAAUUCACCAUGAGUAUACAGUGUGAAGUUUCUACAGUGUUGCAAACUUAACCAUAAGAUCUGAGAAUUUACAAGACAGUGUCUCACUACCUACCUAUCUUAUAUAUGUAUCUAUUGCUGUUCUUUAGAUCUCUCUAGAUGCAAUGAGCAAGUAAUUCUCUUACUAUGAAUUGCUUGAUACAGUGGUCUGAAAUACUGUGGAAUGGCUGGCCAGCUCUUCAAAGAGAUGUUAGAACUUCUUCAUGUGGACUCGUGGUAUACCAAGUAAAGCAGCCAUGUUGAUUCUUAUAAAUAAAUAAAGUAGUUCUCUCAAGGUACCACACUAGUCAUGAAUAAAUGAAGCAAAGGAGUUACUAGCAAAAGUAGGAUUUCACUUUUAUUGGACACAUGUACUUCACUUUGUAGUAAGUGUAUUUGAAACAAUAGGGUGCUUCUAAAUAAAAGUGAUAAUUUUAGAGUUUGGGUAAUUUAGUAUAUGUAGAUGUCUAACAUUUAAUAUUGAUUUCAAAGUUUCCACAAGAUAAUAGUCAUUGCUCUUUUCUAACAGUCAGAUUUUGUCCUGGAAAACUUUUUCCCCGGGCUAAAACUAAGCAUAUGUCUCACUGCUGAACAAAAGCUUUAACACAAAGAGGUAUUUAUUUUUGGUUUAACAAAUCUGCAAAUGAAAGAGAAAAUUAUGCUUUCAGAAUGAUUUUUGAAUUCAGGUAAUCAAAGAGUUUCAUUUUAAAAUCAGAUUAUAAAUUAUACUGCCGAUUAAUCUGCAAUGUGGCUUAAUCUUUUUUAUUAUCUUAAUAAAAAGUAAAAUAUGUUUUACAUCCUCAGUGAAACAGCACUGCAAGUUUUUAGAACAGAGGCUCAGUAUGAUCGUGUAUAUUCUCCUGCCUAUGUCCACAAGUUAAUACCUUGAUCUUGUAAGAAACAUCAUGCAGGCAGAACAUGAAUUUUAAUCACCCUAUGCAACUGAAAACAUAUGUCAAUGAGAGAUUAUUUUAAAGGCAAGUAUUUUAUUUGACUGUGUUUACCACAGAGAAAAUAAGAAAGAAAUAGAAAAUAUAAAAAGAAAAAAAAAAUGAAAAAAAAAAAAAAGCACAGCCAAAAGCACUUAAUACAGGUAGAUUUAUUUAUUUAUUUGGUUGGUUGGUUGGUUAUUUAUUUAUUUUUAGACAGAAAAGACUGUCAAGAAGAAACAUGAGUUUCUAGAUGUUUUAAUUAGGAGUUAAGCAAUGUUUCUUUGUAAGCAAGUAAGCAAAAAAGUACUCCUGUCCUUCUCAUUCUUCCUUCACAUUUUCUGUUUCUUCUUUCUCAUUCCUGGUAAUUGCAAAACUGAAAACUCAGCAAAAUGAAAAAUGCAAUUAUUUAGCUAAUAUUUAUUCUUAAAUUAUUCUAUAGUUAUAAUUAUUACUUUUUAAAUAAGUUAUUUACAUUUGUGCUUGAACCGAUAUUUUAUUACAGGUGUCAAAAUUGAAAUUACCAUAAUAAUAUGAAAGCUAAAUUUUUUAUAGAAUUAUUGCUUUAAAAGUCAAAUAAUAUCUGUGUCUUUCUGGUUACUUGAUGCCUCUCUUUAGUAAGCUUCAUGGUAAGGCUGUGGAAACUUUAUAGUUGAAUAUGAAUAUUGAAUAUAUCAAUAAGUAUGUUGGUUUCCAGGAAAAUCCAUGCAAAACUUUUCUCAAUCAAAUCAAAUCUCUUUCUGAAAAUUGCAACACAUUGUAAUAUUUUUAAUAUCUUCAUUUAUAUUUACAUUUGCAUCAAGUAAUUGAACAACUUUUUUGUUGUUUUUUAAAAAAUACCUCUGCUAAGAGGUAUCUCUACUCAAGUAGAGAUUCAUUUUCAAAUUUCCUACAACACAAGAAGAAUGCUCUAUGUGUUGUUCUUAAAUCUGUGGUAUUUAUUUAUGGGUCAAAAAUAAAGCUUUUCUUUAAAGAAGCUUUUUUUUUUUUUUUUUUCCCCUAUUUUUAGUAAUGAGAAUAUAUUUCAGCUGGACAUAUUUAAGCAAGUAGACUUAUUUCCAGAUCUUUUCAUGAAAUAACUAUAAUGAAAAAAAUUAAAUUAUUAUUUUUUUUAACUCCGUAUGGUUUUGCUGCUUUUUCUGUAAGCAGCAAAUAGUUAGCAUGCUCUGCUCUCAUUACUGGAUGCAGAGCUUCAAAUUAUCAAAACAGUGGAGUGAAAAAGCCUGCAGAUACAUUUCCUGUUGUCAGAACAUUUUCACGUUUGGGGUUAGGUACCUACGUACUGUUUCUUAUAGAUAAUACAAGAAAUUUUAUUCCAUUUUAUAUUCAGUGUACUAAAGAAUACUUAGCUCAGAACGAUUGCCAUAAUAUUGCUGUUGUCUGGACAUUUGCACCACGAAAAAAAUGAUCAGAGCUAUCACAUUAUCAGAUUAUUAGAGAUUUUUUUUGUGUGUUUAUGUAAGGCGAAAAUCUUCUAAUACGCUCAACCUACUAUCUGCUAAUACUUCAGUAAGAAUAGGUCUAAUCUGGCACAAUUUAUAUGCAAAUUUUAUAUACUUGUAAUAAAUAUGCCACCUUCCACUUAAGAUUAAUCUUUUCAGAUGUCAUCAUUUAUUUUUGGACUGUCCAUAGUAUUUACAAAUGUAAUUAACUUAAUUUGUUCGCAGGAGAAAUUUGAACUAUAUCAAAUAAAUAUUAGUAACUGCUGAUAACACAAUCUUUUUCCAGCUAGCUGAAACUUGUAUGUUUGUCUCCAUUCAAAUUUAUGAAGAGUUCCAGGAAUGGAAAUCAACUGACUAAGCACAUAUUUUUUUUCCCUUAAAAACAAUAUCAUUUUUUUACUCCACUGGAAAUAGUGAGUUCUCUUCUCAUAUGUACUGUAUUCCCCUUCAAAUUAGUUCUGUAAUUUGCUGAGUUCAUGGUACACGUGACUGAUUUUUUCUGUGUCUUAACUUCAUAUUUUCUUAUGAAUAUUUUAAUUUUAAUUAAGACAAGGCAUCUAAAUCAAACUGUUUUUUUUUUAAUCUGCUGAUGCGUAUUUAUAUCAUCCUUUCUGAACAGUUAUGAUACUCUGCCUUUUCCGAAUUUUAGUGAAUUUAUAACACUUCCCUAUUCCAAAUUUCCAACACAGAAAGAAAUAAAAACAUUGAGUGAGAGACAUCUAGGAGGGAAAGGGUGUGAAAUUUCUUUUUUUGUGUGUAUGUGUGUUUGUCUAGGUCUGAGAUAUAUUCAUUCAGUUGGAAAACUGGAAGAUGUGUAUCAAAAAGUGAGAUAAGACAAAAGAGGAGUAAAAAUGUAAUAUAUGGAUAUUUACUGGUACACUGGAGUUUGUGCACAAAUAAAAUUUAAAUUUGGUGAGGAGACAUGUAAAACUGUGGAGGGAAGAUCAGAUGGAAGAAACAGCCUGAAAUAGUGUCCUUUGAAACAGUGCCCUAUUUCUUCUUCAGGAAUGGACAAGAAGGGCAGUACCACUUCAGCAUUCCUUAGAAUAGUCAAGUGUUGAGGAAAACACUGGUAAAACUAAGCAUUAUAAAGAGACCAGAGUAAGGGGAUUGAAUAAUUUCCAUUAAAAACACCACCACCAACAAAUGCACAUACACACACACACACAAAAAAACCCUUGUUGAUAUAUUUUGUAGGUUUAUAAGCACGUCGUCAGCAAUUGCCUCUCAUUGACAGGGGAAAUAAGCAAAAAUAGCUCUCCAUUUAAACUAAAUUUGUCAAGAUGUUCAAUGAAAUUAUGUAAAAGUGACCUGAAGCUUUAUUUCUUAUUUGUGUUCUCUUAGAUUUUGCUUAUCUUUUUUUUCCCUUAUUUUGUGUAAGUUUCUGUCAAUUCUAGAACCUGAUUAUCUUAGCAAGAUUAAAAUGAAUAUACUUUGCACCAAUUGUUUAAUCUAUUAGGAAAGAAAAAAGAAAAAAAAAUGUUUUAUUGUCAAAGUAUGUCUAAGGACUGCCUUCAAGACACAGAGACAAAUAACCUCUCUCUUGAUAGAGUCAGAAGAGUUCAGUUAUCAACAGCUAGGUAGGGAUGAAAAACCCUGCAACAAAUCUGCCAGCUCCCCAGGUGCUUCAAGCAAUUCCAUAUGUACGGUAUGCUGCUUGUCUGCAGCUGAGGCACACAUCUAGAUGUCCUGUGCUGGGCCAUGGGUUGGACAUGUCUGAUCUAGAUUCUUACAUGUGAACACAUCAGUGUGUUUUCAGCUGCAUGCAGAAAAAUGAAGACAAUCAUCCACUGCAUGUCUUUCUCCAGAAUCUCUUCUUCACAGGAAAAUAAGUGAAAAUAUAUUAUAAAGCACAUAAUUAAAGAAGGCAAAUACUGCACAUUUUCUGCUAAGUAGACAAGAUCAGGUAUAGGGAAUUAAUGAGUAAAUAUAACAUCUCAAAAUGUCUAUUCAAAUAUAACAUCACAGAAGUUUUUGAUGAGGAAGACAGCAAUGAAUAUAUAUGAACAAUGUAAUGAGAAAUAUUUUUAAUACUUUGAGUGAUUGCUUUAUCCACAGAAAACGAAUAUUGUUCAUAAUGCAGCACAGUUACGCUGAAGAUUUUAGAACAACAUACAGAAAGUUGAGUAAAAAAGAAGGAAAAAGGAGGAUUUAUCCAAAAUACAUAUGCAGUAUUAAAAAAAAUAAUAAAAAAUAAGAAUUGUUUUCCAGAGUUGAAUACAAAUGGUUUACUGUUAAAUUAUAUAGUUAUCUGAUCAGCUCAAUGAGAUAUAUUUAAAUGUCUCUACAUGUAUGCUCUUCAUUUUUUUCAUGCAGUUAAAAUGAGAACAAAGAAUAGAUAGAUGCCAUAAAGUGCCUGAGGCUCUUAUAGUAUUAUGAAUUUGCAGAAGAACAAAAUGGUCUGCUGAGGACACCUGUCUUUCUGCGUCUGUGCAGAACCAUAACUUUUGUAUUUAAAGUAAAUGUGGAAUAGAAAGCAGAUCUCACCAGAUCUCAUGUGAGUUUGCCUCAAUUGCUCGUAUCAGAAAAGGAGCACGUGUUCAAGCCAUCUUGCUGCAACUUAACACUGCAGGAACUAUUUUACUCUUAAUUGACUUUCAAUGCAGAUAGCUUUCCCCAAUACUUUGGUCAUCCUACUGCAAAGCCAGGAUUGAGAAACAUCUUUGGCAUUCUCCAAAGACUGCAGACGAACUCUAGUGGCAGUCUGGUGUCCUGCUUCAACAUAAAGAUCCUAUGUUUAAGUAAUGUUUAAUUACUACUUUCUCAGGGACUAAGGCUUUUCCAUAAUGACUUCAAAGAUAUUUUUUUCUUUUCCUAAGUAAAAUAUGAUACACAAAUAAAUAUCUCUAUUAGAAAGGAUGUUUGAUUAAGAAACACUCAAUUUAUUAAUAUUGUUAACAUAUUUAUUUUUUAAAGAGAUUUGUGAAGGCUUAGCUAAAAUAUUUUCUUUUAUGCCAGGAAACAAAUUUGUGUCUCACUUUGAAACAUGAGAGUUAUCAGUUCAACAUGACACUUCCAAGAAGAGAAAGAAGCUCAAUACAUGAGCUUAAAUUUUGUUUCUUCAUCAGGUUUUGCUAUGUAUAAUCUUUUCUCUUCAACGUAUUGUAUUGGUGAUGCUAUAUAAGCAGGAAAAAACUGUGUUUUUAUGACUUCAUGUACAAAUGUCUGCUGACAGGCUACAUUCACAUCAUUUACCCUGUAUGAUUAGACUAAUGUAUCUUGUUGACAUGGAAGUUGGUUUUGCUGUUGACAGUGAAAAGUGUACCUCUUUCUACUAUCAAAGUAACUCACUGUUUCACUGUUAACCUGCUCAAAUCCAUACAUCUUAUUUACUGCAUGUAGAAAGAAGAGGUGAAAGUAUAAUAUGAGGCUGUUCCACCAUGCAGUGCAUGAGGAUGUAUGCAAAGGACUUUUCAGGUAUAAGAAAUAUCAGAAUUCAGAACGUCUGUAAUUAGGAUGCUUUCUGAUACUAUAUAGAUAAUAAUGAUCAAAAGCCAUUGAAAUUAACAGCAGUCUUUCCAAUGUUUACAGUAGGUACAUGAUCAGGUCUAUUAUACAUAUGUACAGAUAAUUUGUAUAUUAUGUACAGUACUUAAUUGAUCCCCAAACAAAACUUGUCUUUAUAUUUAUUGAACAAUUGUAGAAUACAUUGCACUGAUUCAGAGGACUUCACUUUAAUAAAAAGUGAAUCAGAUUCUUAAAUGAGAGAGAUAGAAGGUUAAAACACCAGAGAAAAAAAAAAUAGUGACUAACAAGACUGUAAAUUUACUUUAUAUGUAGAAACGAUCCUGCACACUACUGAAAUAGAUGCUCAGUCUACUUAAUAUUGUUGGUCAAAAAAUUACAUUUUUAAUCAGUUGGGCAGUAUAGAGUAUCUUUUUUGUCUGUUUUCAAUGUACUUUAUCUACACUUUAUACUAGUCUCAUUAAAAUGAUGUCAAAUGCAUGUAUAUGCUUCAUAACCAAAAUCAAAUCAAAUGAUGUAAUGAUAUAAAUACCUGAACAGAAGCAAUUAGAUAGGAGAAAAUUUUUGAAAUUAUUUUUGAAAUUUUAGGACAUAUAGAAUUUACAGUCUCUGUAUUCUAUUGAUUUUGCACUUUAGCAUUCACUUCCUUACUGUAAGCAUCUAUAUAAUAAUUACAAUAAACUAUCCUUAGAUAAUAUAAUAAGUUGCCACUAAGUGAAUCUUACACAUCACUGCUGAAGGAAGGAAAAAUGAGUAUAAAGGCAUUGUUAAAUCUGAAAAUGAGGAAAUUAAUUUGAAUUGCAUAAUAAUCAUGUUGAAAAAUAGCAGUAUAACCCACAAUUUAAUGUGUAAUUGUACUUCCCCAUGAACUAGGACUAGCAAAUAUGAGGACAAAUGAGGUGUAAAAUAAAAAUGUUAAAAUUUGUUAUUGAUCCCAUAUUAAAGCAACAGUGAUGACAGAAAUAAAAACAUAGGCAGCAAUAUAAUAUACACUAUUAGAAUAAGAUGGAUUACAUGGUGUAUGGCUAAUAUGUAUAUGACUCUUCUAAAUGAUUACAGCUAUUAGCUUGGAUCUGCCUGAAAUUAAUUUUAAAUAAUCCUUUUUUGUUCCUUUUUGCAUUUAUCACAUGAAAUAAAUUCUGAAAAAUAAACAUGAAAAGAAUUUCAGAUAAAAUUUAAUGUGUUUUAUGGUAUCAUUAAAUAAUAAUAAUAAGCCACUAAAUUGUCAAGAGCAUAUCCUGCUUUCCUAACAAGCUUUUCUGUCAUAUUUGGUUGCAUAUAAGUGGAAUCUCUGACUUCUAAUCUUUUCACUACAUUUCAAUUCAAAUAUUUUUGUGAAAUAUUUUCUUCUUUGUGAACACAGCAGUUACACGACUACAUGGUUAUCUAACUUGAUGAAGUUACCUAACUUGAUGUAGUUACCUAGCUUACUUCAGCAUUCAGCAUACAAAAAUCUUUUAAAAUUUACUGCUAAUAUAGGCUGUAAAGUUUCCACAUAAUUUAAAGAUAAUGUUUAUUGAUUUGAGGGCGUUAAUUAUUUUUAAUUUUUACAUAUUUGUAUAUAUAUUUCAAAUGCAAAUAUAUAAAAUACAUGUUUGAAUAUCUGGCUCCUACUAUUCUGUGCAAAAAUAGAAGAUGCUAGUUGACAAUAUUCUCUUUAAUAUAGAAAACGCAUCUGAAUAUCAUUAUGCACUGGAGUAUUUCUAGUACUGAAGAAAUGUACGAUACCUUUUAAAGCAUUCUCUACACAGAAUCUGUUUAUCUAGGUUUUAAAGGUCACUGAGAGGGACUGAAGUUAGCAUGUGAGCUGCUAGCAUAAACAUGAAGUCUGAACUUGGAAAUUUGAUAUUUCAUUUAAUAGCAUAGUUAAUGUCUCUGUCCAUUUAGGGGAACCUUUCCUCUGGUUAAACAUUUAUCUGAGUAGGAUCACUCUUCAAACUAUAGUAUGAGAUGGAUAUGAAGAUAUCUAAAGUUCUCCGAAAGUAAUGUCUCCUAUUUAUUUCCAUAGAAACUACAACAGGUCCAAAGUACAUAAUAACAUUAGUUAAUAGAGCAGGUUCUCUGCUACAAAAGAUUAUUUUUCAACAUAGACACCAUCAUUAGCCAUGCACUUCUGUCAGUAAUGAAAAAGAGUCUGCAUGUCGCACUCAUAAAGUUCUGCACCAGUAGAGAUGACCCUCUGUUUCAUAUGUUUUAUGACAGUGUCCUUGCUGAAACACAGCACCCACUGCAUCGCUGUACUAACAUUCACUGUUUGGUCUCCAUAAAGCCUCAAUGAGAGUAAAUGGGUGCUAUUUUUUCUACAUGGAAGAAUUCAGUGACACACUUUUGCUUCUUAUACACUUCCAUAUCUGAUGUCAUUUUGUCAAAGUGUCCUUUUGCUAUCAUCUGUUACUCAGCAACAAAAUUUAAUGGAAUACUGGUGGGAAGGUUCAACCUCUAUUGCCAUACCACCAUUUGCCUCUGAUGUCAUGGAACAACAUGAUAAAACAGAAGGCGUUACUUUU